rnacentral:lncRNA from 10 species
GGUGCCUUAGUCUACCAAGGAACUAAAUUCAGUGUGGUCUGAAAGGAAACAAUAAACAACAUUUAACCAUGAGAGGUAGCAAAGGACGUCUUUUCUCAGUGUCUAUGUUAGACAGAUUCCUGCAUACAAGGAAGACUGAUGAAAGAGAGUAAAAAUCACUUUUGGAGAAAAAAAGACUGGACUUUCUACUCUGAUGCUCCACAAGAAACAGAAGUGGUAAGAAGACAAGCAGGCUCCCGGGGGAAGUGGAGGACCAUAUGAAGUUUCAUGAAAGAAAUGGCUUCAGGGAUGAUGAGGCAACUCUUCCUAAUACAAGGGGUAAGCCCUAGCCCAGGGGCACACCCAUCCUCUAGGAGGCCAGGGAUGGUCUCUGUCACUCCUGGGAAGUCCCUGCAGACUCUACCUGCUUUCCAAGUGCUUCAGGAAACAUCACCUUAAGGUUGAAGGAGGACAAACUCAAGCAGUUGCCUAUGGUAUGGCUAAGGGGGUGGCAAACAGAGGGCUGGUGAUUUUUACAAGUAACCUCUCACAAUACUUGCGCCAUUACUUCUCUUUUCAUUUGUGUCCAUGAAUAGAAACUCUCAGAGGAUAGUAUGUUAGCUCCAUGGCCUGUGGCACUGUAGAGUGAGUUCUUUAGAGACUGAAGGAGUUAAGAGUACCUGUUUAGCUACCAGAAGCUGAAUGUCAGCCGGUAUGAAUGGUAUGUAGCUGGGCAAUUUUCCAAAACCCAUGCGUGGCUGCGUAUCAGGAAGACUGCUAUAAACAAAUGUGCAUGUAUGCAUAGAGCCUGAUAAGUCAAUGGGGGGAGACAGACACGGAACAGCCAACCAGCCUGAGGAAAUAUGCAGAGCCGGGUGAGCUUCCACUUUAGGUGAACAAUAGCUCUGUCUCGGAAACAGGUCUGGAUGGGCUGGUGAACAGUUGGAAUGAUCCUUUGACUUUUUACACAUUAAAUGUCUGUUUCAGGGGACCGAAAGCUGGAUUCUCAAUUUUCCAAUUAUCCUAAUAUUAUAAAAUCACUAAAAUGGUGUUUUAAAAAAAUUCUUAAUAUGUAAAACAUGCAAAGAUACAUUAGGUGAAAAAAGCACAGGGCAAAACUGCAUUUAUAGAACCCAAUUAUGUAAAAUAUAUAGAUACAUUUAAGAUGAUACAUUAAAAAUGUC